rnacentral:tRNA from 1 species
AGUAAAAUGGCUGAAAAAAGUGAUAAAUUGUAAAUUUAUUUAUAAGAUUUAAUGAUCUUUUUUACUA